GCAUAGAUAAAUAUACUUGUAGUGGGGAGGAGCCUAGCAAAGCCCAUUUGAUUAAAGUCCUCUCCAUGUCCCAUUGUCUUUACAAGGCAUGACAAACGUUUGUUUACC